rnacentral:rRNA from 1 species
UCUGUAGGCGGUGCGGCAAGUCGGAAGUGAAAUCUCAGGGCUCAACUCUGAGUCUGCUCUCGAAACUGCCGUGCUGGAGUGCGGGAGAGGUGAGUGGAAUUGCAGGUGUAGCGGUGAAAUGCGUAGAUAUCUGCAGGAACACCAGAGGCGAAGGCGGCUCACUGGACCGCAACUGACGCUGAGAGACGAAAGCUAGGGGAGCAAACAGGAUUAGAUACCCUGGUAGUCCUAGCCCUAAACCAUCAGGACUUGGCGUGGGUCCCGUUCGGGGCCCGUGUCGGAGCUAACGUGUGAAGUCCUGCGCCUGGGGAGUACGGCCGCAAGGCUGAA